UACGGGGGGAGCAAGCGUUGUCCGGAUUUAUUGGGCGUAAAGAGCUCGUAGGCGGCUUGUUGCGUCGACUAUGAAAACCCGCGGCUUAACUGCGGGCUUGCAGUUGAUACGGGCAGGCUAGAGUUCGGUAGGGGAGGACUGGAAUUCCUGGUGUAGCGGUGAAAUGCGCAGAUAUCAGGAGGAACACCAGUGGCGAAGGCGGCCAACUGGUCCGGUACUGACGCUGAGGUGCGAAAGCGUGGGGAGCAAACAGG
rnacentral:rRNA from 1 species